AUGAACGCUUGCGGCGUGCCUAAUACAUGCAAGUCGAGCGAACAGACGAGGAGCUGGCUCCUCUGACGUUAGCGGCGGACGGGUGAGUAACACGUGGAUAACCUACCUAUAAGACUGGGAUAACUUCGGGAAACCGGAGCUAAUACCUGAUAACAUGUUGAACCGCAUGGUUCAACAGUGAAAGACGGUCUUGCUGUCACUUAUAGAUGGAUCCGCGCCGCAUUAGCUAGUUGGUAAGGUAACGGCUUACCAAGGCAACGAUGCGUAGCCGACCUGAGAGGGUGAUCGGCCACACUGGAACUGAGACACGGUCCAGACUCCUACGGGAGGCAGCAGUAGGGAAUAUUCCGCAAUGGGCGAAAGCCUGACGGAGCAACGCCGCGUGAGUGAUGAAGGUCUUCGGAUCGUAAAACUCUGUUAUUAGGGAAGAACAAAUGUGUAAGUAACUAUGCACGUCUUGACGGUACCUAAUCAGAAAGCCACGGCUAACUACGUG
rnacentral:rRNA from 1 species